GGUCGCCAUGGGGACGAGCAUGGAGCUGGAGCAUGGAUCAUGGCGGCUGCUGCCCGCUAGGCCGCGGCACAAAUACAAUCCCUCGACAUCCGCCGACAUGGUGAAAGUCCGUCCAAGAUUCCAAACAAGCACAAAUUGUCUCCUUGAACCUCAAGCCAAUCGAUAAGGCGAAAGAGUUGAAACAACAGAACAGACUCGCACGUGGGAAGAAGCCAGAGCACCUAGAGGAAACUCACCCUGUCAUAAGGAGAACGUGCAAGCUCCACAUAGACGGCACCCAAAGUCGGGAUUGAACCUGGGUCUCUUGCGCAAUGAGGCAGCACCUCUACCACCUGCGCCACUGUGACGCCCUAUAUUUGGCUUUGUUGACCAGCCUCAAACUUUGGAAGGGAAAUCCAGCAAAAUGCAGCUUAGUCGAGUAGGUGAAAGUCCAUCCAAGAUUUCAAACAAGCACAAAUUGUCUCCUUGAACCUCAAGCCAAUCAAUAAGGCGAAAGUUGAAAC